GAUGAAGAACGUAGCGAAAUGCGAUAAGUAAUGUGAAUUGCAAAAUUCAGUGAAUCAUCGAAUCUUUGAACGCACAUUGCGCCCGCCAGCAUUCUGGCGGGCAUGCCUGUUCGAGCGUCAUUUCAACCCUCGAGCCCCCCCGGGGGCCUCGGUGUUGGGGGACGGCACACCAGCCGCCCCCGAAAUGCAGUGGCGACCCCGCCGCAGCCUCCCCUGCGUAGUAGCACACACCUCGCACCGGAGCGCGGAGGCGGUCACGCCGUAAAACGCCCAACUUUCUUAGAGUUGACCUCGGAUCAGGUAGGAAUACCCGCUGAACUUAAGCAUAUCAAUAAGCGGAGGA
rnacentral:misc_RNA from 1 species